rnacentral:rRNA from 1 species
AACGAACGCUGGCGGCAUGCCCAACACAUGCAAGUCGAACGAGACCUUCGGGUCUAGUGGCGCACGGGUGCGUAACGCGUGGGAACCUGCCCUUAGGUUCGGAAUAACUCCCCGAAAGGGGUGCUAAUACCGGAUAAUGUCUUCGGACCAAAGAUUUAUCGCCUUUGGAUGGGCCCGCGUUGGAUUAGCUAGUUGGUAGGGUAAAAGCCUACCAAGGCGACGAUCCAUAGCUGGUCUGAGAGGAUGAUCAGCCACACUGGGACUGAGACACGGCCCAGACUCCUACGGGAGGCAGCAGUGGGGAAUAUUGGACAAUGGGCGAAAGCCUGAUCCAGCAAUGCCGCGUGAGUGAUGAAGGCCUUAGGGUUGUAAAGCUCUUUUACCCGGGAUGAUAAUGACAGUACCGGGAGAAUAAGCGCCGGCUAACUCCGUG